GCGCAUAUAAAAAAAAAAGACAACGCAUCCAACUCUCCAGAUGCCAUAUGAAGCAAACUCUCCUCAUAUCGUUGCAUCCUCCACGCAAACUCAAUAAAGCUCUACAGGUCCCCAGGCCGUCUCGCAGGGAAGAACCCAUUAACAUCCUCAUCGUCUCUGGGCUGUCGGAUGAGAAUCGGAACAACAAGGUUAUGUUUCAUGUUCCCCAUUGUGAAGAGUUUAUCAUCUAAGAACUGCCUGCAAUCAUCUUCUGACUGACAACGUGUGGACGGAGGAGAGAGACUGUAACUCACACCGAAACGUGUCCUCUUAGCUGACAGCUGUCAGAAUUCUCAAAGAUGAGAUCUGGAGCACAUUGUCGGUGGCACGUUUCUCACUGUGCAGCAGUACACAAAUAGUACACAGCCACAGUGUGUACUAUUUGGAAGAACUCAUUCACAGAAAUUGAAUAUAUUGUCCAUAACUAUGUGUUCGUACAUGUAUAGUCACCUGCAACAAAAAAAUGAUGUUUUUUCGUCAAUGAAUGAGUUGUUGAAUGAAUAUAGUUACAUUGGGGGGACCGACCUCCGUGUAAGUCGCCAUGUUUGCUACGUCGUGUUUAGCUGCGUUCAGGUUCCACUGCGACUCAGGAGGUCGGAAAAAACACCACCCCGACUUCCGGGGUCAGAGUUCCGGUUUAGAGGUUUAAUGGAACGCCGCAUUAGAUAUGGUUACAGAAAACGGUCCAGAAUACGUCGCUUUCGCCUCGAAUUUCCGGCGCUGCCGUAAAACCGGAAAUGGAAUUAGCGGUGCGCCACCAUAAAGUGUCCCCUGCCGGGCGCUCAUUUGGUUGCGGUUUGCAACUUUACCACCAGAUGCCGCCAGAAAAGUACAAAGAUUACACACUGGGGCGUUAAAGGUCAGUCAUGACUUUUUUUUCCUUCUCCUUUUUAUAUGUAGACUGAGUUUUAAAUCGAUUUACAGUCUCUCUAACUCUUGAUCCAUUUUAUAUUUUGAUCCACAUAUUGAAGAGCGACCUUUGAAACUUGAAGCGUUCGUUCUCUCGACACUCAUUAUGGCUGUAUGCGGAUAUGCAGUGUGAUGAAUAACCAAUUUGAGGGUUGCUGUCAACUCAUUCAUCAUUGAAGAAUUUUGUUUAUCACACACUGACCAACAGACUGAUGGAAACGUUGCAGUGAUGCGACAGUUACACAUUCCUCUCUGGGCUGAGAAAUGGGCGGCGGUCAUUUGUCUGAUGAAAGACUUUAACGGCCCCUCUGAAUAAAUUCCUGAUCAAAAGAAAUGUGGCUUUGUUCCUGAAAAGAAAGAAGAAUCACAACAACAGCAGCAGGUUUGUCGGCCUCACCGUCCUUCCCCAGACGAUCCCAGAAAACGCCCCCCCCCCCAAAGCAGCUUAGUGGAUCGGAUUACAGAGCAAUAGUUCUGUUUCAGUCUGUUCAUCCAAGAUCAUUUCCCCCCUGCCUUCUCAAUAUGGUUAUUUUGGAAUACACAGGCACAGUGAGAGGGGCAGCCGUGUGUGUGUGUGUGUGUGUGUGUGUGUGUGUGUGUGUGUGCGCGCGUGUGUGUGUGCAGCUGAAACCACUGUCUCCGCUGCUGCUGCUGCUGCUGCUGCUGCUGAUGAUGAUGAUGAUGAUGAUGAUGAUGAUUCCGCCGCUGCUGCAAUCACCUGCAAUCCUUUCAAUGCCUCGCCACCCCUGCUGGUUGCUUGGAGACGGGUCGUCUAGGCCACAGAGCUAAUGAUACCGGGAGAGGAGGAGAAGAAGGAGGAAGAUGGAGACAAGGAUGCAAAGACAGAGUGGGUUUUCAAAAAGGAGAAGGAGAGGGAAAAGGAGAAGGAGGGGGUAUUCAGUCACAGGUUCAGUGACUUCCAAUGGCCAACGCGGGAUGAAAGCACCGUGCAGUGUUUUCAACCACAGCAGAAUCAGAAACAGGGACUGCUGAGGGGGAUUAGAAGAACAACCCCCCCCCCACCACUCUGACCUCUCCGGCAAAGAAAACAGAUAUCAGGCCUUGUUGUUCCACUUGUCAGCGGCCAGCUCAGGUCGUCCAAUCAGCUUCCAAAGCCUCUUGACGAGAACAGUUCCUCAGGCUUGCAUCAUGGACAGAGAGAAAACAAACACAUUUCGAUGGUUUUAAAUAAGAAAUUUACGAUGAAAGAAAAGCUCUGGACGUAUGGCUUGUGACAGAAUUUCAGGAAAGUAAAAGCCAGUCAUGUUUUUCUGUAUCCUUAGAUCACAUGAGCCUAAUAAAUGUACAGCACACAACAUCCUCUAACUUUUGACAAAUGAAGGUUCAAAUGAGGGCAGAACCAUCCCUAAAAAACCCCAUCAACAUGUCUUUAUAACAAUAAAUAUGAUACAUAUCA